CACAGUUUCAUCCAUAGGUAGCAAGUUUCACAAGGUCAAAACAAAAACUAAAUACAAGAAAACAUACUUCUUGGACCCUGAAAACAACGGACAGCGGUUCUUCCACUUGAAAUCAACACCAUGGCUCACAGGCAGAAUACUGGCAGCAAUAAUCAAAUAAACUAUACAAGGAGUUGUUUCGAUUCCACAACAAGGAUCAAAACAUGCACAACCAUGUCUUAUGUUGCAACUGAACAACACAUACUACAGCCAUCAAAACCAGCAGAUUGACAGGUUAGAGUCAAUCCCACCAUCUCAUUUACUCCUCCCUUCCCUUGAGAAAAACAAAAUUCUUUACAAAUAAAAUAGCCAGCACAUGGAAUAUAUUUGCUGUGCUCUAAGCAUCUCAACUCAGCGUCAGUAGUGAUGGCACAACACACAUACCUUGGUUUUUACGUGCUCUUUCUACUUGACAUCCUUGUUAUACUUGUCUUUGUGGAAGUCCAUGAUCUUGCAAGCAGGAUGGUCCUAUUUCCGAUGGACCUGCAUGGGCGGUGACAAGAUAACCAUGAGAAAUGGAAAUGCUGACAGUCGCGCACAAACAAUUGAAGAAGAAUCUCAAGAAAAUGCUAAAACUUGGGCUCAAACAAUUGAAGAAGGAAAUGCAGCACUACCUCAACCAGGUGCAAGCCCAUCCUGGAUACAACUUUAUGCCCUCGGUACAACAUUAUGACCUGCAAAGUUGAAACAUGAUAUGUGAAAGCCUAUGAUCUUGCAAAUCAACAAUAUAACAUGUUUGUUAACGCACAACAAGGAAGCUUCAGUUCAAAAUUAUAUGAUGUUGCACACUUUCAAACGUGGCUCUGUUCUAAGCAUUCCAACUCAGCUUCAGUUGUGGUGUGACGACAAAUUUACCCAAGCAGGAUGAUUUUAUCACAUACCUUGUUCUUUUAGGCGAUCUUUCUCCAUGGCAUCCUUGGUAUACUUGUCUUUGUGAAAGCCUAUGAUCUUGGAAACAGGAGGGCCUGAUUUCCCAAGGACCUGCACAUGCGGCAACGAGAAAACCAUGAAAAACAGAAAUUCCGACAGUUGCGCACAAGCAAUUGAAGAAGGAUCUCAAGAAAAUGGUAACACUUGGGCACAAAUAAUUGAAGAAGAAGGAAAUGCAGUGGUACCUCAACUGGGUUCAAUCCCAUCCUGGGAGCCAUCCGAAGAGCAUCCUGGGCACUACAUCAUGCCCUGCAAAAAAUAAGAAGCAUGCCAUGUUCAGCAUCUGAAUGUUGAACCGAGCAGGUUCAGGUUUGUGCAAUCCCGUGUCAAACUCCCUAGUAGAUGCAUUGAUAGUUGUACAUUUGAUAUAUGGUUAAUUUAAAGCGAUCGCCAUCACCAAAAAAACAAAUAUUUUAGGCGAGUUAAACAGUGCAAAUCACAGUGGACACAUGAAUCGUGCAGAUGUGAUCCUACCACUUCACUUGUCCAAACUUAAGAUGAUGACUACACACAAACACACACACGCACACGCAUAUGCUUGGUCGUUGCCAAGUAACCAAGCAAGUUCAGGUUUCAUUUUUUUUCUUGAUAAAUCUCCUCCUAAAAGAAAACAGCAUCUUCUUAUUACUAAUUGGAGGCACCUUUUAAGUACUCUAAUUAAUCCACAUCAUUAAAAUUAAUUACACUGUUGGAUUUUGAAAUUUACGUACAGGAUAGAAUGAAAACUUGCGUAACACAAAUGAUCCUGUCCCAUUGAAAAACGAUCUGACACGACCCACGUUAGUGAAACAAACAAAAAAAAUCCUCCAGCCGUUCCCUCGAAAUAAAAAAGUAAAGCGUCCAGAUCAAAAAAAGAAAGAAAAAGGAAAGUGUCAUCACCUAAAAAACUUCCAACGAAAAAGGAGAAAGAAAACCACAAUCCCGUAAAAGGCUCCAUCUCAAUAAAAUACUCUGCCGGUUAAAAUAUUCAUGGAGUCCUCUACAUGGACGCUACCUCCUCCUCCUUAAAUUGUGCUCUCCUACCUAUGUUCGCUGGCGGUGAUUAUUUCUUCCGUCAUAUGGAGUCCGCUCGGCAACCAUGCAAUCUCUUUUUCAACUACAGCAACCCAUCAGGUAUAUCAACCUCAACAUAUGAAUUUCAAUUUCCAAGUACAGUAAUCAAUCAUGUAUACGUACAUGAUUUUAUCUCAUGAUACUGAUUUAGCAGGUACUACCCAAUCAAGCAAUCUACGCAUAUAUACUCUACAACACGAUCUACACAUGAUAUGUUGAUUUAGCAUGUACAAUCCACUCAAAAAAUGCAUAUCCGGAUAUCCUGAUCGUAUUCCACUUUGACCUUUCAGUCGUAUUUCAGUUAUAUAUGUCAAGUACAGAUGUGGAAGCCGUCGAGACCGGCCGCAAGAUGGCACCGGUGCUGUGUGGCAAGAAAGACUUGGAUCGAGUCAAGACUCAAUACUAAUGGAUAUACUCAACAAGAUGACCAACCUAGGAAAUCAGAUUAGAAGAAGAUUAGGUGGUAUUUUCUAUUUAUUUAUUUUUGAUCCUUUUUGAGGAAUCAAACUAAAGUUUUGACUUCUUGGGUUGGCCUUAUUAGGCCACUUAAAUUGUGAUUCAGUUUUCAUUGGUGAGUUUUGUUGGUGCAGAUAGCACAGGGGCAGCCGGUCAAUGUCCCGGGAAAGAGUAGUACAUCAGAUCAUGUUUCCCAUAAAGGGUGUACAAGCAAACAACAUUUGAUGGGUGUCGUACACAAAAACAAAAUCAGCAGGCAACAUUUUAAAUGUGUCCAUGAUAUCGAAUAUAGCAAUGACAUCCAUGUAACCUAAGAAAAUCCAGAUCUACAUCCUGCAUGUCCACAAGUUUUUUUUUUGACAAGUUUGAAUCCAGUCCACAUUUGUACUUCUAUGCUUACUACUCUUUUGCAAGGGAGCAUGCCGUUCUUCUGCAAGGGAAAGCCUAUCUGCUUUCACUAACUAAUUGGUCAGCAUGUGGAUGAGCAUGUAAUGCCCGACAAAGAUAAAACACUCAGGAUGAAGCGACCCAUUUUCAGGAAGCAAUACCGUGUAACAACCAGCUCUAAUAGCUCCUGUUGUAUGCCGCCGUGCGCUAGCUUCAUCCGAUGUCACAAGCUCCAUGUGGUUUAUACAUUCUGUCAUAAACAAUGACUAUGAUAGCAAAGCAACCGUCAGUGAAAAUGAUAUUAAGAUGUAUGGACCUAGAUGAUGCCCUAUUUGUCGCCUUAUAUCUGAUGUGAAUUGUAGUUACAAUAAUUUUGCUAGCCAGCUCAUAGAUGUUGAAGAAAAAUCUUUGCAGUAAGGAAACUUCAAACCAUACUUCCAUGGCAUGACAAAUGAGAGCACUCAUUUCUUGAACAUUUGCACGUUUAAGAACUGCCCCAUAUAUAUUGGAAAUGGUGGCGUAUGAAUGAGCCACUUAGGUUCUCCUAGUCAUUUAAAUCUAUAUCAACUAUCAGAACAGCUUGAGCCAUCCUGGAAAGUGUGGGUAUCCAUGUUCUUAAGUACCAACUAAUCGUACGAAUCAAUGUUACAUACCUCUAAAAGAAAAUGAACAAAUUGUAUAUUGGCUUUUAAUCCCCAGGUGCAAGAACACAUGACCGCUCCAGCUCAAAGUCCAGUUCCCCAUUCGUCUCUGGAACUCACUGCUAGAAAAAGGCACACAAAACUGUAAGCAUAAAUAGAAUUUCUCAGCUCUAUCCAAUGCCAAUAAAAUGCUUCAGGACGUUUGCAUGAACUGCAUACAACUAAACAACACAAAAUAGGGCAUCUACAUCCAAUGGAGGGAACCAAAUAAAUUACCUCCAGAUAAUUUUUCAAGGCAGAUGUCGUGACCGUGAAGAAGUGG
rnacentral:lncRNA from 1 species